AUCUGAUACCAUCUGGUACAUGUUAUCUGCCUCCUAGUGGACUAACCAUGCACUGCAGUCAGUAGAUGUCCUUAUUAUACAAAACCAUUAAUGGCUGCCCUCACCUGUAAAUGUUUUGCAUGGAAAUCUUUGGUCAUUUAAAAGAAGUUACGGUGCAGAAGGCAUCAUCCUUCAUUUCAGGAGUCUGGAUGAUGUGGAGAUCUCCUACAGAGCCAGCAGAGCAGCUAUGGUGACUGUCACAGUGAUGUAACCUGAGGACACCACACCGUACGCCUUUCCAUCUUCACAGACCAGUGGACCUCCGGAGUCUCCCUGGAAGUACAUACACAUUCUUCCCCAGCCGGAGACUAUACAUGAUGUUGGCAGAGAGCCAUCACCUUGGCCUGCGAGAGCAAUAGGUUGCACAUUUGGGCUGAAUUUUGCCUUGGAGCUCAACUUGAGGAACAUGGAGAGAUAAAAGUAUAUUUUAAAAGUAUUUGAACGCUCCUCUUGAUCAAUGCAUUCAAUAGAACAUUUGUAAUGAGAAACAAAAAAAUUGGAAAUCACAAAUUUCUGCCAUAAAGUACCAGGAUUUCUAAGUACAAUUGUGUUUUAUUUUACCUUAAGAAGCAUUAUGUCAUUCCUGAAAUCAGUUUCAUUGUAGUCUUUACGUGGAAAUGUUUGUACCACAGAUAUACGCUGGAUUCCAUUAUUGUUAUGGAAAUUGUGAACUCCUAGUAGGACUAUGUAGGA